rnacentral:rRNA from 1 species
UGUAUAGGAGCUGACGCCUGCCCGGUGCUGGAAGGUUAAGGGGAUCUGUUAGAGCAAUCGAAGCAGUGACCUUAAGCCCCAGUAAACGGCGGCCGUAACUAUAACGGUCCUAAGGUAGCGAAAUUCCUUGUCGGGUAAGUUCCGCCCCGCACGAAAGGCGUAACGAUUUGGGCACUGUCUCAACAACAGACUCGGUGAAAUUGUAAUUCCGGUGAAGAUGCCGGAUACCUGCGACAGG